rnacentral:rRNA from 1 species
UACGUAGGGGGCAAGCGUUGUCCGGAAUCAUUGGGCGUAAAGCGCGCGUAGGCGGCCCGGUAAGUCCGCUGUGAAAGUCAAAGGCUCAACCUUUGAAUGUCAGCGGAUACUGCCGGGCUAGAGUCCGGAAGAGGCGAGUGGAACUCCUGGUGUAGCGGUGGAAUGCGCAGAUAUCAGGAAGAACACCAACGGCGAAGGCAGCUCGCUGGGACGGAACUGACGCUAAGGCGCGAAAGCGUGGGGAGCGAACAGG